AUUGAACGCUGGCGGCAGGCCUAACACAUGCAAGUCGAGCGGAUGAAGGGAGCUUGCUCCUGGAUUCAGCGGCGGACGGGUGAGUAAUGCCUAGGAAUCUGCCUGGUAGUGGGGGAUAACGUCCGGAAACGGGCGCUAAUACCGCAUACGUCCUGAGGGAGAAAGUGGGGGAUCUUCGGACCUCACGCUCUCAGAUGAGCCUAGGUCGGAUUAGCUAGUUGGUGGGGUAAAGGCCUACCAAGGCGACGAUCCGUAACUGGUCUGAGAGGAUGAUCAGUCACACUGGAACUGAGACACGGUCCAGACUCCUACGGGAGGCAGCAGUGGGGAAUAUUGGACAAUGGGCGAAAGCCUGAUCCAGCCAUGCCGCGUGUAUGAAGAAGGUCUUCGGAUUGUAAAGCACUUUAAGUUGGGAGGAAGGGCAGUAAGUUAAUACCUUGCUGUUUUGACGUUACCAACAGAAUAAGCACCGGCUAACUUCGUG
rnacentral:rRNA from 1 species